rnacentral:rRNA from 1 species
GGAUGGACUCGCGGCCUAUCAGUUUGUUGGUGAGGUAAUGGCUCACCAAGGCGAUGACGGGUAGCCGGCCUGAGAGGGCGACCGGCCACACUGGGACUGAGACACGGCCCAGACUCCUACGGGAGGCAGCAGUGGGGAAUAUUGCACAAUGGGCGAAAGCCUGAUGCAGCGACGCCGCGUGGGGGAUGACGGCCUUCGGGUUGUAAACCUCUUUCAGCAGGGAAGAAGCGAAAGUGACGGUACCUGCAGAAGAAGCGCCGGCUAACUACGUGCCAGCAGCCGCGGUAAUACGUAGGGCGCAAGCGUUGUCCGGAAUUAUUGGGCGUAAAGAGCUUGUAGGUGGCUUGUC